AUUUCAGGGCAGGGUGUAAUUCCCUACCGGCGGUGAUAGUCCGCGACUCCCGAAAGGGACUGAAUCGGUGGAAUUCCGAUACCGACGGUUAAAGUCCGGAUGGAAGAAAU
rnacentral:ncRNA from 1 species